rnacentral:rRNA from 1 species
ACUGGGCGUAAAGGGCACGCAGGCGGUGACUUAAGUGAGGUGUGAAAGCCCCGGGCUUAACCUGGGAAUUGCAUUUCAUACUGGGUCGCUAGAGUACUUUAGGGAGGGGUAGAAUUCCACGUGUAGCGGUGAAAUGCGUAGAGAUGUGGAGGAAUACCGAAGGCGAAGGCAGCCCCUUGGGAAUGUACUGACGCUCAUGUGCGAAAGCGUGGGGAGCAAACAGGAUUAGAUACCCUGGUAGUCCACGCUGUAAACGAUGUCGAUUUGGGGAUUGGGCUUUAAGCUUGGUGCCCGUAGCUAACGUGAUAAAUCGACCGCCUGGGGAGUACGGCCGCAAGGUUAAAACUCAAAUGAAUUGACGGGGGCCCGCACAAGCGGUGGAGCAUGUGGUUUAAUUCGAUGCAACGCGAAGAACCUUACCUACUCUUGACAUCCAUGGAAUCUUGUAGAGAUACGAGAGUGCCUUCGGGAACCAUGAGACAGGUGCUGCAUGGCUGUCGUCAGCUCGUGUCGUGAG